UACGUAGGGUGCAAGCGUUGUCCGGAAUUAUUGGGCGUAAAGAGCUCGUAGGCGGUCUGUCGCGUCGGCUGUGAAAUCCCGGAGCUCAACUCCGGGUCUGCAGUCGAUACGGGCAAACUGGAGUACUGCAGGGGAGACUGGAAUUCCUGGUGUAGCGGUGAAAUGCGCAGAUAUCAGGAGGAACACCGGUGGCGAAGGCGGCUUCCUGGUCCAGCACCGACGUUCAGGCACGAAAGCGUGGGGAGCAAACAGG
rnacentral:rRNA from 1 species